UGGGGAAUUUUGCACAAUGGGGGAAACCCUGAUGCAGCGACGCUGCGUGAUUUAGAAGGCCUUCGGGUUGUAAAAAUCUUUUCUAUGGGAAGAAAAUGACAGUACCAUAGGAAUAAGGACCGGCUAAUUACGUGCCAGCAGCCGCGGUAAUACGUAAGGUCCGAGCGUUGUCCGGAAUCAUUGGGCGUAAAGAGUGCGUAGGCGGCAAAUUAAGUCAGAUGUGAAAACUAAGGGCUCAACCCAUAGAUUGCAUCUGAAACUGAUAUGCUUGAGUCAAGGAGAGGAAAGUGGAAUUCCUAGUGUAGCGGUGGAAUGCGUAGAUAUUAGGAGGAAUACUGGUGGCGAAGGCGACUUUCUGGACUUGAACUGACGCUGAGGCACGAAAGCGUGGGGAGCAAACAGG
rnacentral:rRNA from 1 species